rnacentral:tRNA from 1 species
UCCUAUGUGGCCCAGCUGGUGGAGCAUUGCAAUUGCAAUGCCAGGGUUAUGGGUUCGAUUCCCAUGUGGGAC